GAUGAACGCUAGCGGCAGGCCUAAUACAUGCAAGCCAAGGGCUGUUUGGUGUAGCAAUACCUCAAACAAUUGGCGGACGGGUGCGUAACGCCUAUGCAACCUACCCUAUACAGGAGGAUAGCCCUCGGAAACGAGGAUUAAUACUCCAUAAGAUUGCCUAGAGGCAUCUUUACGCAAUUAAAGCCGCAAGGCGGUAUAUGAUGGGCGUGCGUCCGAGUAGCUAGUUGGUGAGUUAACGGAUGACCAAGUGGAUGAUCGGUAGGGGUUGUGAGAGGACGAUCCCGCACCCGGGCACUGGGACACGCGCCUGCGUGCUGCGGGAGGAAGCAGUAAGGAAUAUUGGACGAUGGGUGAACGGCUGAUCCAGGCAUGCCGGGUGAAGGAAGAAGGCCCUAUGGGUUGUAAACUGCUUUUGGGAGCGGGACAUAAGGGAGAUGCGUCGCUCGAUGAUAGUACUUAUCGAAUAAGCAACGGCUAACUUCGUG
rnacentral:rRNA from 1 species